CAUCUGCUGGAUCGCCACAGGUUAUUUUAUUUAUGUGUUUGUACUACGCCUGCUGGAUCGCCACAGGUUAUUUUAUUUAUAUAUAUUGUACUACGCCUGCUGGAUGGCCACAGGUAAUUUUAUUUAUGUAUACAUGUAUUGUACUACAUCUGCUGGAUCGCCACAGGUUAUUUUAUUUAUGUAUAUUGUACUACGCCUGCUGGAUCGCCACAGGUUAUUUUAUUUAUGUGUAUUGUACUACGCCUGCUGGAUCGCCACAGGUUAUUUUAUUUAUGUGUAUUGUACUACGCCUGCUGGAUCGCCACAGGUCGUACUACCCCUGCUGGAUCGCCACAGGUCAUUCAUUAUUUCAGUAUAGUAAUGCAUACAUGUAGGUAUUUAUUUUAUAUGUAUUAUAUUUCAGCACAUAGUUCAUGUAGCACACAGUAUUUAUCAUGUUAAUAUCUUUAGUCUAGAUUGCUCCACACAUGCAGGGAUCUCUCCAGGUGUACAUUUCAUACAGUACAGUUAUAUAUAUUAUAUUUCAGGUCAAACCUGCUGGAUCGCUACAGGUCUUUCAUUCUUUUUAUGUACAUUGUACUACACCUGCUGGAUCGCCACAGGUCGUAUUGUACUUGCUGCAUCGCCACAGAUCAUUCAUUAUCUUAAUGUAUACUGUACUAUGCUUGCUUGAUCGCUACAGGUUAAUUUAAUUAUGUGUAUUGUACUACGCCUGCUGGAUCGCCACAGGUCAUAUUAUCUUUUAUUAUGUAUUAAUGUGUUAUAUUUAACUCAGCGAGUAUUUCCACUUAGACUCUCUUGUUUAAGGAUUACUAAGACUUCCCAGGUUGUUUCUUUUAUUUUAUUUUACAGGAAAAUACAGAUACAGAUAUUAAAACCUUCGUUUUUUCGGAUGAAGACUUCAGAACUUUAUAGCACCGUUAUAUAUAAGAAAACAAUACCCUGAUGCCUGCCUUCAUAUAUAGUAUAAUGUGUUAGACAACAGUUCAACUUUGUUUAUUUUAACCUAUCGUUUUCGGAUGCAGAAUUCAGAACUAUUAAGCACUAGAUAUGAGGAUAGCUAUAUCUUGAUGCAGACUUCAGAACUAUAUAGCACCGGAAUAUAUAAGGAGGACGAUACCUUGAUUCAUGCAUUCAUAGUUAAUGUGUCAGAACUACUCACACUUCUUUAAGCAUUAAACGCAAGAAUUUUAACUAUGUAAGACAGAGUUAUUUUAUCCGUCUGGGUUAGAGAGAAGUGAUUACUGUGAUCACUCUUUCAGAACUGGUAGAGGGUUCUUUUUAAAGCACAACAGAAAUGUGUUGUUUUUGAAAUUAUUGUAUUGUUAAUGUAAAAAAUUUUAUUUUUUUUUACAUUUGUUUUUGCAAGCAUUAUUAUUUCUUGGGGGCUUUCAUUCUUUCAUUUUAUGAACUCAUUUCAUUUGGCUUUUAAUUCCAGGGGAAUCAUACUCCCCCAAUUCAAUAAUACAUCAGAUAGGUAAUUCCUGUCGAGGAACAAAUUGUAUUUUAAGUAGUAUUUUUACUACGCUGGGAUCGCCCAGGAGCAAUUAGGUUCAUUCCUGGGGAUCGCCCCAGGAAUUAGGUUCAUUCCUGUCGAGGAACAAAUAGGUUCAUUCCUGGGGAUCGCCCCAGGAACUAGGUUCAUUCCUGGGGGUCGCCUCAGGAAUUAGGUCCAUUCCUGUCGAGGAAAAUAGGUUCAUUCCUGGGGAUCGCCCCAGGAACUAGGUUCAUUCCUGCCGAGGAACAAAUAGGUUCAUUCCUGGGGAUCGCCACAGGAACAUUUUUUACUAAUCGCUUAUUUUUAUUUUUCUCAUAUUUUGAUAAGUUUUGAAUUUAUUUUCUCAUAUUUUGAAUAGUUUGAAAUGUUUAUUUCAAUUCUCUUAAGUGAAUGAGUAGCCCCCAGAAAGCCAAUAAUGUAUUAUAUAGUUUGUCAUACAAUGUGGAAAGAUAUGUACUGUUAUGAUACAGUUUAUUUAGUUGUAGUUUUAGUAUGUUUUGAUAUUUUAUUAAUAAACAUAAAUCUUAAAUUGUGUUGUGUAUAAAAGGAAAUUUGAUUUAUUAAAUUAUAGUUUAUACACAAUACAAUGUAUCUGUUAUCAAUGAUUUCAGCAGGCAGGUAUCUAGUCUAUUCUUAGGAAAUUACAUAACAUCUAUUUUUAGCUUAGUAGGAAUAGUGCCCUAGAGGGGGGUUAGAGUAUUGUUGAUGAAUUGAGAGGAAGCAUCGUUGUAUUUGAUGCAAUUACAAUCAGUUAUCCCACCCACCAGCCCCAAC